rnacentral:tRNA from 1 species
GGGAGGAUGCUCGAGCGGUAAGGGUCUCGCUUCGAAAGCGGUGGACCGGCUCGCGGGAGCGAGUCGGCGUGGGUUCGAUCCCCACUCCUUCCG